rnacentral:rRNA from 1 species
UACAGAGGGGGCAAGCGUUGUUCGGAAUUACUGGACGUAAAGGGCGCGUAGGCGGCCUUCUAAGUCGAACGUGAAAUCCCCGGGCUCAACCCGGGAACUGCGUCCGAUACUGGAAGGCUUGAAUCCGGGAGAGGGAUGUGGAAUUCCAGGUGUAGCGGUGAAAUGCGUAGAUAUCUGGAGGAACACCGGUGGCGAAGGCGACAUCCUGGGCCGGUAUUGACGCUGAGGCGCGAAAGCCAGGGGAGCAAACGGG